rnacentral:tRNA from 1 species
GGGCCCGUAGUAUAGUGGUAAUACACGGCAUUCGCAUUGCUGAGACGGGAGUUCAAUUCUCCCCGGGUCCA